rnacentral:sRNA from 1 species
GUCGGGAUAGUGCCCGGUGAAAAUGGUGGGGCGGCUCGGCACGCA